rnacentral:lncRNA from 1 species
AUGAACCAAACUCCCUAACUCCACGCGCACUGUUCAUCGUCUUCUUCACAAAGCAGCGUUUCAAAUCGCCAAAUCCAUGGCAAGUGAUUCCAAACCCAUAACCACGCACCCCUCCAUCUCUCCUCUUGUUGUUUCUAACGGUUUCAGAUGCUAAAGAUUCCCCUCUCCUCUCACUUGCUCGAAUUUGGGAUAUAUCUCACGAUUAGAAGGUUCUGGAAAUGAUUGGCUGCAUGAGUGUGAGGCGUUGGAUUGAUUUCACUCAAUCCGAGCCCUACAUUCAUCAGAGGUUCAUUUUCAAACGGAGCUUGAUCCGAUUUUGAGAGCAGAGAACUCUGGUAAAAAAACGGGGAUUUCUCUGAAAUAGGAAAAUGGGAGAGAAAAGGUUUUAAGGAUUUUCUUUAGCUUCUCAUUCUCUCUUCUCUGGAAAAUUUCUUUCAAAGUUUAUCUUAAAGGAUCAAAGAGUGAUAUACAUUUUCUUUAAAAUUUUUGAACUGGUUUUGAGUUCCUUUGAUUGGUGGUGAGGUUCCUUCGAUUCUCUAUUGUUGUCUUGCUGAUUUACUAUUGAACCUAGCUAGGAUAUUGCGACCAAAGGGUGUAUUUGUUGAUUCUGUACUUAUUAUAAAAAAAGUUUGCGAUUUCAGCUAUUGGAUUUCACUUGUAUUAGACGUUCGAGUAAAGUUAAUCGGAAGUGUUUACUGAUUCAGGUUCA